rnacentral:lncRNA from 1 species
AAAGGGCAUGUUUUCUUCAUGAAGACAUUUUCAUCUUCUUCAUCAUUCCCCUUCCUCAUCUACACCCCCAACACUUAAUUUCUUCAUACCUUCAUUCCGUUUCUUCGUAAUCCUCUUCCUAUCAAGUCCUAAUUGAUUCAAAAUUUCAUUUUUCGACAAUAAAAAAGGCUUCAAAAUUGAUGAACAGGUUUGGUUCUUGGCCAAGAAUUUCAUGUCAUGCGAAUAUCAUCUAUGUCAUCUAUGAAUUUGGGAUUGUUUAUGCCAUUUCUGUAGACAUUUUGAGUAGAAGAUUGAAAAUUUGGGAGUUUGGGGAUUUUGGGUUUUGGUUAAUGUGAAAGAAUUUGAAUUUGAGAUUUUGUGUAUUGAUGUGGUUUUGUGAUCAUGUAUUUGUAUAUAGUCUAUUGUUGAAUUUGCUCAAGUUAAUUCAAAUUAAUUUUUCAUUUGAUAAAGAAAACAAAUUUCUUGAAAUGCUUGCAACAUGGUUCACCGAAAUAGUGAAUUUUUGUGAUGGACGGAGUAUUUCGAAUGUUGUUUCUGAUGUUUACGGGUGAAAUCAAGGAAUGUGGGGGUCAAUUUUGCGUCAAUGAACAAAAUAAAGAUUAUUGUUAUUGUUCUUGUUCAUCAAUUUUUUUUACAAAAAUUCAAUCUUUUUAGUGUUUCUUGAAUUGGGUUGUACUUAAAUUUACAUAAUUUAUACAUUUUAAUUUUAAUACAUAUUUUACCUUUUUUCAAGGAUCUUUAUGAAAUUCUUUAGUGUAAUUUUGGUGGUGGUAGCCAUCGUGGUGGUGACAGCGGUGGUGGUUGCCAGAGGUGCUGAGUUUGGAGGAUUGAUGGGAAAGUGAAAGUGGAGGAAGUUAGAGCUAG